GCUUCCUAAGUCCAGUGGUUACGCCGCUGCGACUAUGAAAUUGAGAGGUCAAAGGUUCAAGUCCCACAGGAGGCA